rnacentral:rRNA from 1 species
CCUACGGGAGGCUGCAGUAGGGAAUCUUCCACAAUGGGGGAAACCCUGAUGGAGCGACGCCGCGUGGGUGAAGACGGUCUUCGGAUCGUAAAACCAUGUUGUUCAAGAAGAAAGUGCGCGAGAGUAACUGUUCACGCUUCGACGGAAUCCAACCAGACAGCCACGGCUAACUACGGGCCAGCAGCCGCGGUCAGAAGUAGGUGGCAAGCGUUAACCGGAUAUGUUGGGGGGAAAGGGAACGCAGGCGGUCUUUGAAGUCUGAUUGGAAAGCCUUAGGCUUAACCGGAGUAGUGCACUGGAAACUGGGGGACUUGAGUGCAGUAGAGGAGAGUGGAACUCCAAGUGUAGCGGUGAAAUGCGUAGAUAUAAGGAGGAACACCAGUGGCGAAGGCGGCCCGCUGGUCUGUAACUGACGCUGAGGUUCGAAAGCGUGGGGAGCAAACAGGAUUAGAUACCCGAGUAGUC